UCCGAAUUUGUGUCCGAAAAAUCCGAAUUUAGGAGGUCAGGAUCAAGGAGCCAGGUGUGAAAUCCGUCAGGAGGGGAAAAAAUCCGGAUUUGUUUCCAAAAAAUCUGAAUUGCUGUCUGAAAAAUCCGGAUUUGUGUCCAAAAUAAUCCGAAUUUGUGUCAAAGAAUCAGAAUUUGUGUCUGAAAAAUCCGAAUUUAGCAGGUCAGGAUCAAGGAGCCAAGGGGAUGCUCUAGGAGAGAGAAAAAUUUGGGUUGGUGUCUAAAAAAUCCGAAUUUCUGUCCGAAAAAUCCGAAUUUAGGAGGUCAGGAUCAAGGAGCCAGGUGUGAAAUCCGUCAGGAGGGGAAAAAAUCCGGAUUUGUGUUCAAAAAAAUCUGAAUUUGUGUCAAAAAAAUCCGAAUUUAGGAGGUCAGGGUCAAGGAGCCAGGUGUGAAAUCCGUCAGGAGGGAAAAAAAUCCGGAUUUGUGUCCGAAAAAUCCGGAUUUGUGUCCAAAAUAAUCCAAAUUUGUGUCAAAAAAUCCGAAUUUGUGUCCAAUAAUCCGAAUUUAGGAGGUCAGGAUCAAGGAGCCAGGUGUAAAAUCCUUCAGGAGGGAGAAAAAUUCCGAUUUGUGUCCAAAAAAAAUCUGAAUUUGUGUCAAAAAAACGGAAUGAACCAGGUCAGGGUCAAGGAGCCAGGCGUGAAAUCCUGCAGUGCCAAGGAAAAUCGGAUUUGUCUCUUUAAAAAUCCGAAUUCCAGAAACAUCCGAGUGGAUUUGUCUCUUAAAAAUUUCAAAUUCCAGAAGGAUCAAACCAGAUUUGUCUCAAAAAAAUCCAAAUUUUAGAAGAAUCAGACCGGAUUUGUCUCUUAAAAAAAUCCAAAAUUUCAGAAGGAUCAAACCAAAUUUGUCUGCAAAGGAAAUCCAAAUUUCAGAAGGAUCCGAGUGGAUUUGUCCCUUAAAAAAUUCAAAAUUCCAGAAGGAUCCAAGUGGAUUUGUCUCUUAAAAAUUGCAAAUUUCAGAAGGAUCCAACCAGAUUUGUCUCCAAAAAAUCCAAAAUUUCAGAAGGGUCAAACCAAAUUUGUCUGCAAAGGAAAUCCAAAUUCCAGAAGGAUUCGAGUGGAUCUGUCCCCAAAAAAAAUCCAGAUUUCAGAAGGAUCCGAUCACUCAGGUGCAAAAUCCUCCAAGACGGAAUAAACCCGAGAUUUGUGUCCAAAAUAAUCCAAAUUUCCAACGGGUCCGAGCAGCUCCUUGGGAGGAGAAGGCAGAGCUGGGUUCGGGAUUUGUUUGGAAUUUUGGGAGAAGGAGCCGAGUCCAUGGAGCGCCCCAGAAAUCCCGGAGGCCUAAACCCGGCCUAAAACUGGUUUUAAAGGCACUCGGUGCCUCCUAAAUCAGGCUUGAAACUGGUUUUAUUCUGCUCCCAAAAAUCCGGCUUGAAGCUGGUUUUAAAGGCACACAAGGCGUCCAAAAUCCGGCUUGAAAGUGGUUUAAUUCUGCCCCCCAAAAUCUGGCUUGAAACUGCUUCCACUCUUCCUCCCUAAAUCCGGCUUGAAACUGGUUUUAAAGGCACUCAGUGCCUCCUAAAUCAGGCUUGAAACUGGUUUUAUUCUGCUCCCCAAAAUCCGGCUUGAAGCUGGUUUUAUUUUGCCAGCAAAAUCAGGCCUAAAACUGGUUUUAAAGGCACUCGGUGCCUCCUAAAUCUGGCUUGAAACUGGUUCCACUCUUCUGCCCUAAAUCCGGUUUGAAAGUGUUUUUAUUCUCCUCAAAUCCGGCUUGGAACUGGGUUUUCAAAGCACUCAGCAACCCCAAAACUGACCUUGAAACCGGUUUUACUCUGUCCCCUCUGCUCCCCCCAAAUCGGAUUUAAACCUGGUUUCACACUGCCCCUCCAAAUCCGGCUUGAAACUGGUUUUAAAGGCACUCAGACCCCCUGAUUGGGUUUUAAACUGGUUUUAAAGGUGCUCAGCCCCACAGAUCGGGUUUAAAACUGGUUUUAAAGGCACUCAGCCCCCCCGAUCGGGUUUUAAACCGGUUUUAAAGGAACUCAGCCCGCCAGAUCGGGUUUUAAACUGGUUUUAAAGGUGCUCAGCCCCCCAGAUUUGGUUUAAAACUGGUUUUAAAGGUGCUCAGCCCCCCAGAUCGGGUUUUAAACUGGUUUUAAAGGUGCUCAGUCCCACAGAUCGGGUUUAAAACCGGUUUUAAAGGUCCUGCAGGAAGGCAGCCAAGGGCUGAGCUCGGCUCAGAACCCCGAGCCCGGCCCGUCCAUCCCCUCCGGAAUUCUGCGGCUCCGGGGAUGAAUCCUCAUCCUUCCCUCGGGGCAUUCCGGGGACCCGCGGGCAUCGCGCUCAGCCCUGGAGGGAGGAAUCGGAUCCCUCACAGCCCAAAAAAACAAUCCCAAAAAACCCCC